AUUGAACGCUGGCGGCAGGCCUAACACAUGCAAGUCGAGCGAGCGGCGGACGAGUGAGUAAUGUCUGGGAAACUGCCUGAUGGAGGGGGAUAAAUACUGGAAACGGUAGCUAAUACAGCAUACCAUCAGAUGUGCCCAGCUGGGAUUAGCUAGUAGGUGGGGUAACGGCGCACACAGGCGACGAUCCCUAGCUGGUCUGAGAGGAUGACCAGCCACACUGGAACUGAGACACGGUCCAGACUACUACGGGGGGCAGCAGUGGGGAAUAUUGCACAAUGGGCGCAAGCCUGAUGCAGCCAUGCCGCGUGUGUGAAGAAGGCCUUCGGGUUGUAAAGCACUUUCAGCGGGGAGGCGUUACCCGCAGAAUAAGCACCGGCUAACUCCGUGCCAGCAGCCGCGGUAAUAC
rnacentral:rRNA from 1 species